rnacentral:rRNA from 1 species
AGUGAACGCUGGCGGUAGGCCUAACACAUGCAAGUCGAACGGCAGCACAGUAAGAGCUUGCUCUUACGGGUGGCGAGUGGCGGACGGGUGAGGAAUACAUCGGAAUCUACUUUUUCGUGGGGGAGAACGUAGGGAAACUUACGCUAAUACCGCAUACGACCUACGGGUGAAAGCAGGGGAUCUUCGGACCUUGCGCGAUUGAAUGAGCCGAUGUCGGAUUGGCUAGUUGGCGGGGUAAAGGCCCACCAAGGCGACGAUCCGUAGCUGGUCUGAGAGGAUGAUCAGCCACACUGGAACUGAGACACGGUCCAGACUCCUACGGGAGGCAGCAGUGGGGAAUAUUGGACAAUGGGCGCAAGCCUGAUCCAGCCAUGCCGCGUGGGUGAAGAAGGCCUUCGGGUUGUAAAGCCCUUUUGUUGGGAAAGAAAAGCAGCAGGUUAAUACCCCGCUGUUCUGACGGUACCCAAAGAAUAAGCACCGGCUAACUUCGUG